CCUACGGGUGCUGCAGUCGAGAAUCAUUCACAAUGGGGGAAACCCUGAUGGUGCGACGCCGCGUGGGGGAAUGAAGGUCUUCGGAUUGUAAACCCCUGUCAUGUGGGAGCAAAUUAAAAAGAUAGUACCACAAGAGGAAGAGACGGCUAAUUCUGUGCCAGCAGCCGCGGUCAUACAGAGGGCUCAAGCGUUGUUCGGAAUCACUGGGCGUAAAGCGGGCGUAGGGUGUUUCGUACGUCCUGUAGUAAAGGCGCGGGCUCAACCCACGGGAGGCAUAGGUUACUGGGAGACUAGAGUAAUGGAGGGGGGAGUGGAAUUCUCGGUGUAGCAGUGAAAUGCGUAGAUAUCGGGAGGAACACUCGUGGCGAAGGCGGGUUCCUGGACAUUAACUGACGCUGAGGCACGAAGGCCAGGGGAGCGAAAGGGAUUAGAUACCCCUGUAGUC
rnacentral:rRNA from 1 species